GUGCUAAUACCGGAUAAGAACGCAGAUCGCAUGAUCAGCUUAUAAAAAGGCGGCGUAAGCUGUCGCUAUGGGAUGGCCCCGCGGUGCAUUAGCUAGUUGGUAGGGUAACGGCCUCCCAAGGCAAUGAUGCAUAGCCGAGUUGAGAGACUGAUCGGCCACAUUGGGACUGAGACACGGCCCAAACUCCUACGGGAGGCAGCAGUAGGGAAUCUUCCACAAUGGACGAAAGUCUGAUGGAGCAACGCCGCGUGAGUGAAGAAGGUUUUCGGAUCGUAAAGCUCUGUUGUUGGUGAAGAAGGAUAGAGGUAGUAACUGGCCUUUAUUUGACGGUAAUCAACCAGAAAGUCACGGCUAACUACGUGCCAGCAGCCGCGGUAAUACGUAGGUGGCAAGCGUUGUCCGGAUUUAUUGGGCGUAAAGCGAGCGCAGGCGGAAGAAUAAGUCUGAUGUGAAAGCCCUCGGCUUAACCGAGGA
rnacentral:rRNA from 1 species